rnacentral:rRNA from 1 species
GUAGGUGGCAAGCGUUGUCCGGAAUUAUUGGGCGUAAAGCGCGCGCAGGCGGUCUUAAGUCUGAUGUGAAAGCCCACGGGCUCAACCGUGGAGGGUCAUUGGAAACUGGAGAACUUGAGUACAGAAGAGGAAAGCGGAAUUCCACGUGUAGCGGUGAAAUGCGUAGAGAUGUGGAGGAACACCAGUGGCGAAGGCGGCUUUCUGGUCUGUAACUGACGCUGAGGCGCGAAAGCGUGGGGAGCAAACAGGAUUAGAUACCCUGGUAGUCCGCGCCGUAAACGAUGAGUGCUAAGUGUUAGGGGGGUUUCCGCCCCUUAGUGCUGCAGCUAACGCAUUAAGCACUCCGCCUGGGGAGUACGGCCGCAAGGCUG